GAUCAAUGAUGAAAAUUAGCCAAAUAUGACCAUUGUGAAAAAUUUUCCAGUGUGUGAUUAUUUGUCAGAGA